rnacentral:misc_RNA from 1 species
GAUGAAGAACGUAGCGAAAUGCGAUAAGUAAUGUGAAUUGCAGAAUUCAGUGAAUCAUCGAAUCUUUGAACGCACCUUGCACCCUUUGGCUAUUCCGAAGGGUAUGCCUGUUUGAGUAUCAUGAACACCUCAACUCUCAUGGCUUGCCAUGAUGAGCUUGGACUUUUGGGGGUCUUGCUGGCCUGUGGUCAGCUCCUCUCAAAUGAAUUAGCCUGCCAGUGUUUGGUGGCAUCACAGGUGUGAUAACUAUCUACGCUUGUGGUUUUCCACCAGGUAACCUUCAGUGAUGAAGGUUCGCUGGGGCUCAUAAACGUCUCUCCUCAGUGAGGACAGCUCUUUGAACGUUUGAUCUCAAAUCAGGUAGGACUACCCGCUGAACUUAAGCAUAUCAAUAAGCGGAGGA